AUGGGUUCGAAUCUAAGAGAAAUUCUAGAUAAUGUUUCCUACCCUAAAAUUUUCUUGUCUUUCCCGAAUGCUAAGGAGAAGAAGAGGAUUGAGUCAAAAGAAAAAGCUAUUUUGGAGUUUUAUCAACAAUUUGCUUGUGUAGGUGGGGACCUGGUAUUUUCGGAGUCCUUAUGCGAGGAAUUACAAAAAAAAUUCCAAAAAUGUGAAUUAGGAAGGAUUGGUCGACGAAAUAUGAAUUACAGACUUAAUCUUGAUAUACCUCAGAACAAUACAUUCUUGUUACCACGAGAUGUAUUGGCCGCUACGGAUCAUUUGAUUGGAAUGAAAUUUGGAACGGGUAUACUUGACGAUGACGAUAUGAAUCACUUGAAAAAUAAACGUAUUCGUUCGGUUGCAGAUCUAUUACAAGAUCAAUUCAGAUUGUCUCUUGGUUUACAACAUGCAGUUCAAACAAGUAUUCAUAGAAUAUUCAUACAUCAAUCGAAACCGACUCCCCAAACUUUGGUAACUCCAACUUAAAUUUUAUUAAUAACUACUUAUGAGACCUUUUUUGGCACAUACCCGUUAUCUCAAGUUUUUGAUCAAACGAAUCCAUUAACACAAACUGUUCAUGGGAGAAAAGUGAGUUGUUUAGGUCCUGGAGGAUUGACGGGGAGAACUACAAGUUUUUGGAGCCGAGAUAUUCAUCCAAGUCACUAUGGGCGUAUUUGUCCAAUUGACACGUCUGAAGGAAUCAAUGUUGGACUUACUGGAUCCUUAGAAAUUCAUGCGAGAAUUGAUCACUUGUGGGGAUCCAUAGAGAGUCUGUUUUAUGAAAUAUCUGCUGAGAAAGCAAAAAAAAAAGAGAGACGGGUGGUUUAUCUAUCACCUAAUAGAGAUGAAUAUUAUAUGAUAGUAGCAGGAAAUUCUUUGUCCUUGAAUCAGGGUAUUCAGGAAGAACAGGUUGUUCCGGCUAGAUACCGUCAAGAAUUCUUGACUAUUGCAUGGGAACAGAUUCAUGUUAGAAGUAUUUUUCCUUUCCAAUAUUUUUCUAUUGGGGGUUCUCUCAUUCCUUUUAUUGAGCACAAUGAUGCGAAUCGGGCUUUAAUGAGUUCUAAUAUGUAG
rnacentral:rRNA from 1 species